UAUAUUUUAGUAUAAAUGUACGUGAAAUUUUGAUUUUUAAAGUGUUAAUUUUAUUUAACAAAUAUAU
rnacentral:tRNA from 1 species